GUAGGUGGCAAGCGUUGUCCGGAAUUAUUGGGCGUAAAGCGCGCGCAGGCGGUCCUUUAAGUCUGAUGUGAAAGCCCACGGCUCAACCGUGGAGGGUCAUUGGAAACUGGGGGACUUGAGUACAGAAGAGGAAAGCGGAAUUCCAAGUGUAGCGGUGAAAUGCGUAGAGAUUUGGAGGAACACCAGUGGCGAAGGCGGCUUUCUGGUCUGUAACUGACGCUGAGGCGCGAAAGCGUGGGGAGCAAACAGGGAUUAGAUACCCUGGUAGUCCACGCCGUAAACGAUGAGUGCUAUGUGUUAGGGGGUUUCCGCCCCCUUAGUGCUGCAGCUAACGCAUUAAGCACUCCGCCUGGGGAUACGGCCGCAAGGCUG
rnacentral:rRNA from 1 species